rnacentral:SRP_RNA from 1 species
UGGAAGGUUGUGUGGGCAAGCACCCUGCUAAUCUGGUCAGAGCCGGAAGGCAGCAGCCACCGUGGGAUCCUGUUUGGGUCAUAUCAAUCUUCCACCA